UUUUUUUUUUUAUAAAUAUUAUUCCUAUAUAUUUUUUAAAAGAGUCAAAACUAAUAAAGUAAGACCAACAAAAAAAUAAGUCAAUUAAAUCUAAUUAUGUGAAAAAAAAAUAAUAUCAAAAUUAUUAUAAAAAAUAAAAUAUUUAUUUAUUUCAUAUUAGCUUUUCAAAUGUUUUUUUUUUAUUAGAAUAUACAUGGUAAAAAAAAAACAUUUAUACUAUUUAAAAUGAUAUUUUAUCCAUUUGCAUCUUGAAGAUGCUCUGACAUGUAUUUUUAUGGGUUGUUCCUAGAUGUCUUCUUUCCUCUGAUUUGUUUCUUGAUUUGUUGGGCUUAUAAGAUUCUCUUCUUGUCAUCUUGUUUAUGUAAUAUCCAUUCAAUAUGGUUGCAAAUAAUCCAGAAUUAUGGAGGAGAGGAAAUGUCAAAGUCUUGCAAGGGACUUGCAGUGGAACUGGUCAAGCGUCCCAGUGAAUAUGAUUGUAUUAAGGUUCUUCAUUCUUUAGUAAAAUGAUGUUUUUAUCUUUAAAA